GCAAGUCGAACGGUAAGUUAGAAGCUUGCUUUUAACACGAGUGGCGCACGGGUGCGUAACGCGUAUGCAAUCUACCCUUUUCUGGAGAAUAGCCCUUAGAAAUGAGGAUUAAUACUCCAUAGUAUUACAAUUUCGCAUGUUAUUGUAAUUAAAGCUUCGGCGGAAAAGGAUGAGCAUGCGUCCCAUUAGUUAGUUGGUGAGGUAACGGCUCACCAAGACUCCGAUGGGUAGGGGGCCUGAGAGGGUUAUC
rnacentral:rRNA from 1 species